rnacentral:rRNA from 1 species
CUAAGGUCCCAAAGUGCGUGUUAAGUGGAAAAGGAUGUGGGAUUUCGAAGACAACUAGGAUGUUGGCUCAGAAGCAGCCAUACAUUCAAAGAGUGCGUAAUAGCUCACUAGUCGAGAGGUCCUGCGCCGAAAAUGUCCGGGGCUAAAACACGACACCGAAGCUGAGGAACAUAUAAAUGUUGGUAGAGGAGCAUUCUUAACGGAACGAAGCUGUACCGGAAGGAGCAGUGGACUGUUAAGAAGAGAGAAUGCCGGAAUGAGUAGCGAGAUGGAGGUGGGAAUCCUCCAGGCCGAAUAUCCAAGGUUUCCAGAGUAAAGCUGAUCUGCUCUGGGUAAGUCGGGGCCUAAGGCGAGGUCGAAAGACGUAGUCGAUGGACAACAGGUUGAGAUUCCUGUACUGCAAUGUAACAGAACUGUGGGGACACAGAGAGAAAGUGGGACCCGGGAGUGGAAAAACCGGGGCAAGCGGGGUACCGGAAUGACAGGCAAAUCCGUCAUUCAACGGGAAGACGUAAUGCGUACCGAAAUAAGAGUAGGGAAGUCCAUGAGCUAGCUGUCAAGAAAAGCCGCUAUUGUUUGCAUUGUACCCGUACCGUAAACCGACACAGGUGGAUGAGGAGAGAAUCCUAAGGCCGACGGAAGAAGUAUUGUUAAGGAACUCGGCAAAAUGACUCCGUAACUUCGGGAUAAGGAGUGCCAGGAAACUGGCCGCAGAGAAUUGGUCCAAGCAACUGUUUAGCAAAAACACAGGUUUAUGCAAAACCGUAAGGUGAAGUAUAUGAGCUGACGCCUGCCCGGUGCUGGAAGGUUAAGGGGAGUGCUUAGCGCUUGCGCGAAGGUGCGAACUUAAGCCCCAGUAAACGGCGGCCGUAACUAUAACGGUCCUAAGGUAGCGAAAUUCCUUGUCGGGUAAGUUCCGACCCGCACGAAAGGCGUAAUGAUUUGGGCACUGUCUCAACAAUACACCCGGUGAAAUUGAAAUACCAGUGAAGAUGCUGGUUACCUGCGCCAGGACGGAAAGACCCCAUGGAGCUUUACUCUAGCUUGAUACUGGGAUUCGAUAUUGUAUGUACAGGAUAGGUGGGAGGCUGAGAACUCAUGACGCCAGUUGUGAGUGAGCCGCUGUUGGGAUACCACCCUUGCAGUAUUGGAUUUCUAACCUGCCGCCGUAAACCGGCGGGGGGACAAUGUCAGGUGGGGAGUUUGACUGGGGCGGUCGCCUCCGAAAGAGUAUCGGAGGCGCUCAAAGGUUCCCUCAGAAUGGUUGGAAACCAUUCGAAGAGUGCAAAGGCAGAAGGGAGCUUGACUGCGACACCGACGGGUGGAGCAGGUACGAAAGUAGGACUUAGUGAUCCGGUGGUAUAAAGUGGGAUUGCCAUCGCUCAACGGAUAAAAGCUACCCUGGGGAUAACAGGCUUAUCACUCCCAAGAGUUCACAUCGACGGAGUGGUUUGGCACCUCGAUGUCGGCUCAUCGCAUCCUGGGGCUGUAGUAGGUCCCAAGGGUUGGGCUGUUCGCCCAUUAAAGC